CCUACGGGUGGCAGCAGUGAGGAAUAUUGGUCAAUGGGCGGAAGCCUGAACCAGCCAAGUAGCGUGCAGGAUGACGGCCCUACGGGUUGUAAACUGCUUUUAUACGGGAAUAACGCGCCUUACGGUUAGGGCUUUGCAUGUCACGUAUGAAUAAUGACCGGCUAAUUCCGUGCCAUCAGCCGCGGUAAUACGGAAGGUCCGGGCGUUAGCCGGAUUUGUUGGGUUUAAAGGGAGCGUAGGCCGCAUGUCAAGCGUGCUGUGUAAUGUCCGGGCUCAACCCGGGCCUUGCAGCGCGAACUGGCGUGCUUGAGGCCGCGGAAGGCAGGCGGAAUUCGUCGUGUAGCGGUGAAAUGCUUAGAUAUGACGAAGAACCCCGAUUGCGAAGGCAGCUUGCUGCAGCGGAACUGACGCUGAUGCUCGAAAGCGCGGGUAUCGAACAGGAUUAGAUACCCUUGUAGUC
rnacentral:rRNA from 1 species